rnacentral:rRNA from 1 species
UACGAAGGGGGCUAGCGUUGCUCGGAAUCACUGGGCGUAAAGGGCGCGUAGGCGGCCAUUCAAGUCGGGGGUGAAAGCCUGUGGCUCAACCACAGAAUUGCCUUCGAUACUGUUUGGCUUGAGUAUGGUAGAGGUCGGUGGAACUGCGAGCGUAGAGGUGAAAUUCGUAGAUAUUCGCAAGAACACCAGUGGCGAAGGCGGCCGACUGGACCAUUACUGACGCUGAGGCGCGAAAGCGUGGGGAGCAAACAGG